CCUCCCCUAUCCUCUGUUGCGGCGAGUGACAGGACGCUUGCUGCUCAAGCAACAAGCUUAGCGUUGAUAGCUAAGCUCUAAUAACGUACCUACAUCUUAAAUUAUUAUAGCACUACUGACAAAGAAGACGAAAUGGAGGUGCCGAUGGAUCCCUUGUUUCUUGCAUGGAGCUACUUUAGAAGACGGAAGUUCCAACCAUGUUCUGAUAUUUGUUCGAAGAUAUUAGAGGACAGUCCAUACGACCAGGAACCUGACUCCUCAUCACAUAUUUCUGAGGCUGCAUGGAGUCUGAAGACCCGUGCUCUGACAGAGAUGGUGUACAUCGAUGAGGUGGAGGUGGACCAGGAGGGGAUCGCUGAGAUGAUGCUGGAUGAAAGCUCCAUUGCCCAGGUUGCUCGCCCUGGGACAUCACUGAGGCGUCCUGAAACAAGCCAUGGAGGUGGACCUACUCCAGCUAUCAGGCCCAUUACCCAAUCUGGACGACCAAUCACAGGGUUUGUGAGGCCCAGUACCCAGUCUGGCAGACCAGGGACAAUGGAACAGGCCAUUAAGACCCCGCGCACAGCACACACUGCCCGCCCUGUCACUAGUGCAUCUGGGAGAUUUGUCCGGCUGGGAACAGCCUCCAUGUUAACCAAUCCUGAGGGGCCAUUUAUAAAUUUGUCAAGACUCAACUUGGCUAAAUAUGCCCAGAAGCCCAAUUUAUCCAAGACCUUGUUUGAGUACAUCUUCCAUCAUGAAAAUGAUGUAAAAAAUGCUUUAGACCUGGCUGCUCUGGCCACUGAGAAUGCUCAGUUCAAAGACUGGUGGUGGAAAGUCCAGCUGGGGAAGUGCUACUACAGACUUGGUUUACACCGGGAAUCAGAAAAACAGUUCCGAUCUGCUCUCAAUCAUCAGGAGGUGGUGGACACAUACCUCUAUCUGGCCAAGGUGUAUCAGCGGCUUGAUCAACCUAUAACUGCACUGAACCUCUUCAAGCAAGGUCUGGACCACUUCCCUGGGGAGGUCACUCUCUUAAUAGGAAUUGCUCGCAUUCACGAGGAGAUGAAUAACAUCACCUCAGCCACAGAGUACUACAAAGAUGUCCUGAAGCAGGACAACACUCACGUUGAGGCUAUCGCCUGCAUAGGCAGCAAUCACUUCUACACGGACCAGCCUGAGAUCGCCUUGCGCUUUUACCGACGGCUGCUGCAGAUGGGGGUAUAUAAUUGCCAGCUGUACAACAACCUGGGAUUGUGCUGCUUUUAUGCCCAGCAGUAUGAUAUGACCCUGUCCUCCUUCGAGAGGGCUCUGGCCCUGGUGGCCAAUGAUGAGGAGCAGGCUGACGUCUGGUACAACAUUGGACACGUGGCCGUGGUGGGGAAUAGGAGACCUGACUCUGGCAUCCCAGUGUUUUAAACUGGCCUUGGCCUUCAACAACGACCAUGCUGAGGCCUAUAAUAACCUGGCCGUGCUGGAGCUACGCAAGGGACACAUUGAGCAGUCCAAAGCUUUCCUCCAGACCGCUGCAUCAAUUGCCCCUCACAUGUAUGAGCCACACUUUAACUACUCCACUCUGUCAGACAAGAUUGGAGAUCUGCAGAGUAGCUACACGGCAGCCCAGAGGUCAGAGGAUGCCUUCCCUGAGCAUGUAGAUACCCAGCAGAUCCUGAAACACCUGCGCCAGCACUUUGCUGUGCUGUGACCUACUGACCGACACACCUGACUUGACAGUCCAAACUUCCUGUGUGAUAACUUACUUAGUUGUCACAGAGUGCUGCUAUUGAACAACAGUGACUGGCCUCAUGUUCUGGUUAGACAUCAUCACAAACUACAGAAAAACAUUCUGCUGUUAGAUGAUGGUGACAAUACACAGCCUAAAUGAUACAAAGAGCAAUUUGGCUUGGGCAACUCACUGCACAGACAUUAUUAUAAAACAGUUAUUUAAAACUGCCUGGCCCAAUGCAGGUCUUAUUAGUUGUAUUUUAAGUGUUUUAUUUGCAGCCAAGAUUGGUUUUGGCAUUUGUUUUUCUCAUCAACUGUUGAUUCACAUACAUGUGUAAUAGUAUUAAAGGUACUUUUAAGCACCGAUAGUGAAUGUACAUAAUAAAGUAUGAACAUGGAAGAAAAACAUAUUUACUAUAGUACAUAUAUUUAUACUGCUAUCUUUUUAUAGUGUAUUCAGAUGUAAACCUGGGAUGUAUUUUGGUAUUAACAUUACUCUUGUCAUAAUUUGUAGUCUGUCUUGUUUGUAAGGAGUAAACUAUAUAAACUUUUUUUUUUUAAAGAUGCAUAACUAAUUAAGUUGUUUAACUUUACAGUAUGACAAUUUCUUUUAUCAGAUAAAAUGUUAUGUACAACUUAAAAGUUACAUUUGAUUCCAAUGCUUAUUAUUUUGAAUGUAUGCAUUUACUUAUUGAAAUAAUGGCAAUUUUAUAGUAA